CUGCUCAAUGAUUUUUUAAAUUGCUGUGGUAGCUUGACUAUACAAAGGUAUUGUAAUAAGGUUUUAAUUGAAUGCUAAAAGAAUGGAAUUACAGGGAAAAGUUUUUUUAAAUUUAAUAAUUGAAGUUAUUUUAAUUUGUGAAGAAACAAUUAUAUAAAUUAAAGACAAGAAGACCCUAAGAAUUUAAGAAUUUUUAUUAAUAUAUUAUAUGUAUAUAUAUAUAUAAAUAAUAUUUUUAGUGGGGGCAAUUAAAAAAUUUAUUAAAUUUUUUUUUUAAAAAAAUGACCCAUUAUUAAUGAUAAUAUGAAAAAAAUACUCUAGGGAUAACAGCGUAAUAAUUUUUGAUAGAUCUUAUAGACAAAAUAGUUUGCGACCUCGAUGUUGGAUUAGGAUACUUUUUUAAUGAAGAUGUUAAAAAAAGAAGUUUGUUCAACUUUUAAAUUCCUACUUGAUCUGAGUUCAGACCGG
rnacentral:rRNA from 1 species